ACGGGUGAGUAAUACAUCGGAACGUAUCCUGGAGUGGGGGAUAGCCCGGCGAAAGCCGGAUUAAUACCGCAUACGCUCUGAGGAGGAAAGCGGGGGACCUUCGGGCCUCGCGCUCAAGGGGCGGCCGAUGGCGGAUUAGGUAGUUGGUGGGGUAAAGGCCUACCAAGCCGACGAUCCGUAGCUGGUCUGAGAGGACGACCAGCCACACUGGGACUGAGACACGGCCCAGACUCCUACGGGAGGCAGCAGUGGGGAAUUUUGGACAAUGGGGGCAACCCUGAUCCAGCAAUGCCGCGUGUGUGAAGAAGGCCUUCGGGUUGUAAAGCACUUUUGUCCGGAAAGAAAUCAUCGGGGCCAAUACCCCUGGUGGAUGACGGUACCGGAAGAAUAAGCACCGGCUAACUACGUGCCAGCAGCCGCGGUAAUACGUAGGGUGCGAGCGUUAAUCGGAAUUACUGGGCGUAAAGCGUGCGCAGGCGGUGCUGUAAGACCGAUGUGAAAUCCCCGGGCUUAACCUGGGAACUGCAUUGAUGACUGCAGCGCUGGAGUAUGGCAGAGGGGGGUGGAAUUCCACGU
rnacentral:rRNA from 1 species